UACGGGGGGGGCAAGCGUUGUUCGGAAUUACUGGGUGUAAAGGGUUCGUAGGCGGUGUAGCAAGUCGGGAGUGAAAUCUCUGGGCUCAACCCAGGGGCUGCUUCCGAAACUGCUGUGCUAGAGUGUGGGAGAGGCGCGUGGAAUUGCAGGUGUAGCGGUGAAAUGCGUAGAUAUCUGCAGGAACACCCGUGGCGAAAGCGGCGCGCUGGACCACUACUGACGCUGAGGAACGAAAGCUAGGGGAGCAAACAGG
rnacentral:rRNA from 1 species